UNUACAGCCUGGGACUGCAGCCUAUCGAC
rnacentral:piRNA from 1 species